rnacentral:ribozyme from 12 species
GAAAAAAAAAUAGCAAAACAGAAAAAGAAAAAGGAAGUAAAAGCGGUCAGCCGCCGCUGUUCUCGUCGUGGUUACAUGUUUUGUUACAUCUUAUCUCUCCGUUUUAAACUAU